rnacentral:rRNA from 1 species
GACGAACGCUGGCGGCGUGCCUAACACAUGCAAGUCGAGCGAGGAGAGUUCCUUCGGGAACAAACCUAGCGGCGGACGGGUGAGUAACACGUGGGCAACCUGCCUUGUAGAGGGAAUAGCCUUCCGAAAGGAAGAUUAAUACCGCAUAACAUUACAGUUUCGCAUGAAACAGUAAUUAAAGGAGUAAUCCGCUACAAGAUGGGCCCGCGGCGCAUUAGCUAGUUGGUGAGGUAACGGCUCACCAAGGCGACGAUGCGUAGCCGACCUGAGAGGGUGAUCGGCCACAUUGGGACUGAGACACGGCCCAGACUCCUACGGGAGGCAGCAGUGGGGAAUAUUGCACAAUGGGGGAAACCCUGAUGCAGCAACGCCGCGUGAGUGAUGAAGGUUUUCGGAUCGUAAAGCUCUGUCUUCGGGGACGAUAAUGACGGUACCCGAGGAGGAAGCCACGGCUAACUACGUG